rnacentral:rRNA from 1 species
UACGUAGGGGGCUAGCGUUGUCCGGAAUCAUUGGGCGUAAAGAGCGUGUAGGUGGUCCGGUAAGUCCGCUGUGAAAGUCGGGGGGCUCAACCCUCGAAUGCCGGUGGAUACUGUCGGGCUAGAGUACGGAAGAGGCGAGUGGAAUUCCUGGUGUAGCGGUGAAAAUGCGCAGAUAUCAGGAGGAACACCUAUUGCGAAGGCAGCUCGCUGGGACGUAACUGACGCUGAGACGCGAAAGCGUGGGGAGCAAACAGG